rnacentral:rRNA from 1 species
UACGUAGGUGGCAAGCGUUGUCCGGAUUUACUGGGCGUAAAGGGUGCGUAGGCGGUCGGGUAAGUCUGAUGUGAAAUCUCACAGCUUAACUGUGAAACUGCAUUGGAUACUAUCCGGCUCGAGGAAUGGAGGGGAGACUGGAAUACUUGGUGUAGCAGUGAAAUGCGUAGAUAUCAAGUGGAACACCAGUGGCGAAGGCGAGUCUCUGGACAUUUCCUGACGCUGAGGCACGAAAGCCAGGGGAGCAAACGGG